GUCAUUUUGUUCUGGAGGUAAUGCUGCAGUCAACUUUGCAGCACCACGAGGGCACAUCAUCACACCGAGAGGCUCGCCGAAGUUUUCCUGCUUCGUCGUUGCUGAUGAAACCCGACACUCGUCCGCAGGUCAUCAUCAGUCUGCUGCCUGAUGCGGUGAACAGAAACGUGCACUCGGCCACUUCCAGGAUGCUCGGGGAGCCAGACUGAGCAUAUUGUUGCAGGUGAGUUUUGCUGAGCUGGUUCUUGCCGCUGCAACUAGAAUCUGCCUGGUGAUCAACUUCCACUACAGCAUCUGUGAUGAA